GACGUAGGAUGCGAGCGUUGUCCGGAUUUAUUGGGCGUAAAGAGUUCGUAGGUGGUUUUAUAAGUCUGGUGUCAAAGGCUGGGGCUCAACCCUGGAUGUGCACUGGAUACUGUAAGACUGGAGUGCAGUAGAGGCAAGCGGAAUUCCCAGUGUAGCGGUGAAAUGCGUAGAUAUUGGGAAGAACACCGGUGGCGCAAGCGGCUUGCUGGGCAGUAGCUGACACUGAGGCGCGACAGCGUGGGGGAGCAAACAGG
rnacentral:rRNA from 1 species